UUUAUAGUUAAUAUUCUGUAUUCUAAUAAUAGAUAACUUAUAUUUUCUCUUUAUAUUUUGAAAGGUUCAUCAGCCGCACUUGAAAGUUAAUACUUUUCUAUGGAUAAAUCUUGGAUUAGAAAUCCAAGGAACACCACGGAAUAUUUAUUUGGUUUAAAUCAGUUUUUAGAUUUUGCAUUUGCUAAUGUUAUUGUUGGAGAUAGAAUAAAGUAUCCUUGUCCUAAAUAUUGAUUCGCAAAGUGGCAGACUAGAGAGGUAGCGCUUGAUCAUUUGAUUUGCAAACCAUUCCCUCAAAAUUAUGUCACUUGGAGUAUUCAUGGUGAAAGAAAUAUACUGCCUAAUUCUAUAAAUAAUGUGGUUAUACAAGAUACAUUACCUCUUGAAAAUUCAGUAGAAUUAUUAAUCAAUAAAGCAUUUGGGAGCCUAAGACACGAUGGGGUUGAUGUAGGUCUGUCACAACUAGUGGGUGGUGAAGAAAGGUUAAAUGAUGAGUCUGCUUCAAAUGAUAAAGACUUUUUCGAGUUGCUUAGAGAUGGAAGUCAAGAAUUGUAUGAAGGGUCCAAGUACUCAAAACUAGAAUUUUUAUUAAAAUUGUAUCACAUAAAAUAUUUGUCUGGGCUAAGUGACAAGGGAAUGACCAUGAUACUAGAUUUGUUGAGGGACGCAUUUACAUUUGCACGGAUCCCUCAUUCUUUUUAUGAGGCCAAGAAAACUAUCAGCAAGCUUUGUCUUAAUUAUAUCAAGAUAGAUGCUUGUCAAAAUGAUUGUAUGUUAUUUUGGGGGAAUGAUUCUAAUGAGGAAACAUGUAAGUAUUGUCACACUUCUAGAUGGAAGCCUAACAAGAAGAUAAAUGAAGAUCUUGUGUCUUCUACAGGUAAGAAGAAAAUCAAGAAGAAAACUAAGAAGCCUGCAAAGAUUUUGCGUUACUUUUCAUUAAAACCAAGGUUGCAAAGAUUGUUCAUGUACUCUAAAAUAGCAAAAUAUAUGAGAUGGCUAGCUGAGGAUAGUAACAAAGAUGGAAUUAUGAGGUAUCCUAGAGAUGGUGAGGCAUGGAAGAGGUUUGAUAUAACGUUUUCUGAAUUUGCCUUUGAUCCUCGGAAUGUUCGGCUUAGCCUAGCUAGUGAUGGCUUCAAUCCUUUUGGCACGAUGAGUACUAAUUAUAGUAUUUGGCCAGUCAUUUUAGUUCCAUACAACCUUCCUCCUUGGUUGUGUAUGAAACAACCCAAUUUUAUUCUCUCAAUGAUCAUUCCUGGUCCACGUACGGUGGGAAAUAAUAUAAAUGUUUACCUACAACCCCUUAUUAAAGAGUUGAAUGAGUUAUAGAGUGAAGGUGUCGAAACUUUUGAUUCAUCAAAGAAAGAGAUAUUUAGAUUGUGAGCUGCUCUUAUGUGAACAAUUAGUGACUUUCCUGAACUCGAUAUCUUAUCUGGUUGGAAGUCACAUACUGGUUUAGUAUGUCCCACUUGUAAUUUUGAUGCAAAACCUUGUCGGCUUUGCCAUAGUAGAAAGUGGUGCUUUAUUGAUCAUCGUAGAAUUUUAGCAAGAAAUCAUAAAUUUAGACUGAUGAGACAUCGCUUUGAUGGAAAUGUGGAGGAAAGAAACCCACCGAAAAAGUUAUCCGGAUCUGAUAUUUUGCAACAAGUAAAAGAUAUUGAUGUUAUAUUUGGAAAAUCGGCUGAGUUGAAUGAGAGAAGAAAAAGAUCUAGACAAAAAAAUAUUGGGCAAGGUGCAGCACAACAAUGGAGGAAAAAAAAUAUAUUAAAGAAUCUUCCAUAUUGGGAGUUCAACUCGUUGCGCCACAAUUUAGAUGUCAUGCACAUCGAAAAGAAUGUGUUUAAUAAUAUUAUAUAUUCUUUACUCAAUGAUAAAGACAAGUUCAAGACAGCAAGCUCUUUCAUUUCAGGCCAUGGGGCAGACAAUUCCUUGCAUUCAGCCGACUACUUCAUUUCAGGCUACAUCACUACCAACUCCUUCAUUUCAAGCCACAAGACACCAAACCGCUUCAUUUCAGGCCACAACACUGCCAACUCCUUCAUUUCAGGUCUAGAGACAGACAACUCCUUCAUUUCAGGCCACGGGACAGACAACUCCUUAGUUUCAGGCCACUGGACAGACAACUCCUUCAUUUCAACCUCCAAUUAAUCCCACACUAGCACAAGCAACAUCCAAUUAGUGUGCUAAACGUGAGUCUUCACAUCAUUGGACUGUCGAUGGAAUAGGUAAUCAUUAUCCUUCUUCGUCUUAAUUCCUUCUUCUUAAUCUGCUACAUCUUUUUUGACUUUGAGAGAUUGGUGGUGUGCAUUUGGAAUAUUUUUGCUUUACUUAGAUUAGAUACACAGAAAGAUGAAAUUUUAUUUUAGAAUUGAAAGCAUAGCAAUCCAAAAAAUUGAAAGUUACAUAGCUGGUCCAUCUAAGAAGUCUCUUUUUUCUUCACUAGUUGCUCUUCUUUUGUUAGAACAGUAACGCUAAGAAAAAACUCGUAUUUGUGUUCUCCCAACAAUCUGAUAUUUUCUUUCUCUCAUGUUUUGUUGUAUGAGAGCAAGAUUAUUGAUGCUAGAAUUAAUAGUAGGAUUUUUGAAUAGACACAAGAAUUAUGUGAUGAAAUGGAUAAAAGAGAAAGAUCAUUAGUUGUUAACAUGUUAGUAUAGAAUGUGCCUUCUUGUAUAGUUGUUUGAAAAUGUAGACUUUUUCUGGGAAGAAUUAGUAUUUGAAAGCUUUUUCUGUUAAGUCCCCACAAACUGUUUGUUCAAACAGUUUUAAAAUUUUAAGAAUUCAUUUGAUUAACUAACAACAAACACAGUAAUAGUAUCUUUUAAUAUGGUCAAGUUGUUCUUAAUUUCACAAUAAUAGUACCUUUCAAUAUAAUAAAUUAUUCAUACCUCUCUAUACCAUAUCUCUUACCUUCACUUUUUGCUUUUAUUUUUUAUUUAUUGAAUAUUCACAUGGAGAUAUCAAAAGGCUCAAAUUGAAGACUAGAGAAGUAUUAAGUUUACCUCAGGGAGAACGUGUUGUGGUGGAGUUCGAUUGCUUGGAUCCGAUUGGCAAAGCACAAGGCCUUCUUGCAGGCGUAUGUGGCCUUUUAGCAACUGACUGUACCAUAUUUCCAAUCGGCUUUAAUAAAUGGUCGGAUAUGCCUAAGUCAUACUUUAACGACUGCUUUAAUAACAUUGUAAAGGGAUAAGCUCUAUAUCUUUAUAACUAUAUCUCUAUUUUGUCUUUUGUUUUUAUAUUUGUAUAUAAAAGAUAAAUUAACCAAAAUUUAUUUUCGAAGUCUCAUUUCUGUUUUAUGACCAUUGAGGAAGUUGCACGAGAAUAUGUUUAUCGCUCUAUUGUAAAGAAGUGGGUUGCAAGUAGGCAGAAGUUGUGGUAUGAGUUUAAAGACCUACUUAAAAUCAAAGAUGAGAUUAUGGAUAAUGUUCUGGUAGGUAUUACUCGGGAUCAAUGGACUUCCAUUGUGAACUACCGUUAUAAAGAAGAAACUCAGAACAUGCGUAAAAGAAAUGCUGAAAAUCGGAAGAAACAAACAGUUCCACACACCGGUGGCUCCAAACCUAAUUCUAGAAGAAGAGCUGAAAUGAUGGCUGAGACAGGGAAAAGUCUGGACGAGCAACACUUUAUCUUGCUACACAUACGAAAAAGAUGGAUCAUAUGUAAAUGAGGAGGCAAAAGAAAUAUGUGAAAAAAUUGAGCUAGCAGUGAGUGAAAGUACAUUGGAUGAGUCUGAAAUUUCUCCAAAUAAUGUUGUUGGUAAGAUGCUAGGCAAAGAGCAUCCUGGAAGGGUGAGAUGUUUGGGAUUAAGAGCUACUCCAAGCAAUACUUUCAUAGAGACAAAUCUUCGUCUUGGUAAUAUUAGAAUUGUGAGUAAUAAUGUUGGAUGUUCUUCUGGAUGCCAAGAGAAGUACAAUCAAUUGAUGAUUACUCUCAAAGCAUACAUGAUAAUGAAGGAAGAGUCAAUACCAGAACAAUUUGCUGGGAUCUUUGCUUCUCAUCCUACAAUGCCAAGUGAUGCAGCUAGUGGACCCGUUUCACCGACGGAUGCAAGAAGAUCUUCUGGCGCUAGUAAUCUCAGUGACAACCAUUGAGAUUCAUUUUAAUUGAAAUGGAUGUAUUAGGACAAUGUAAUAGCUGACUAAUAUAGAUGAUUAACUAUGUUCUAAUUUAGCUUGAUGGCAUAUGAUACUACUCUGUCACAAUAUUUUUCACUGUUAAUGAAAUAUUGAUGUUUCUUAAUUUUAA